rnacentral:rRNA from 1 species
GAUGAACGCUGGCGGCGUGCCUAACACAUGCAAGUCGAACGAAGCUUGACGGAUGAUUUCUUCGGAAUGAAACCAGAUAUGACUUAGUGGCGGACGGGUGAGUAACACGUGAGCAACCUGCCUUUCAGAGGGGGAUAACGGCUGGAAACGGUCGCUAAUACCGCAUGAAGUGUUCGCAUGGCAUUUAUAUCAAAGAUUUAUCGCUGAAAGAUGGCCUCGCGUCUGAUUAGCUAGUUGGUGAGGUAACGGCCCACCAAGGCGACGAUCAGUAGCCGGACUGAGAGGUUGAACGGCCACAUUGGGACUGAGAUACGGCCCAGACUCCUACGGGAGGCAGCAGUGGGGAAUAUUGGGCAAUGGGCGCAAGCCUGACCCAGCAACGCCGCGUGAAGGAAGAAGGCUUUCGGGUUGUAAACUUCUUUUGUCAGGGACGAGUAGAAGACGGUGCCUGACGAAUAAGCCACGGCUAACUACGUG